AGCUCAGUUGGUAGAGCAUGGUGUUUGCAACGCCAGGGUUGUGGGUUCGAUUCCCAC
rfam:Salmo salar isolate Sally breed double haploid chromosome ssa29, whole genome shotgun sequence.